CAUCAACAACUAACAGUUCAACUUGGGAUAGUUUUUCAUGCUCGUGAGGCUCUAUAUACUGCCAAACAAAUAUAAAUAAAUACAAUAUGUGUGAUUAACAUUACAUUGCCAAACAGAAAUAAAUAUCUAUUGUGCUGAGAUAGUAACACGUUGCUAGUCUCUUGAUCGUUAAUUUUUCAAGAGUGCAUGUUCAAGAACAUGGCCAACACACUUUUGGUUGCAGAUUUAUCAUAAACCAAGCAUAAAUGAAUUCCUCAUGCUCUAUAGAACUUAUAGAGACAGAGAGUAAUAAAGUAAUGAAUUAGACAAGCUAGUACAGUAAACUAACUUUGUAUUUCCAAAAGAGACGCAACACUUGUACCUUAUAGUCAAGUGCAUCAAACCCCUUGUAGACGAAUUCAAACAAGGGUUUUCACGUUCUCAUAGAUAUUUGAAUACCUAUGCAAAUGAUUCAAAUAACAAAAAUAAUAUGGGAAAAAGAGAGAUUCAAUGAUACAUGUACAGAUGAUUUAAUAUUCCUAAGUCACACCAACCAUGAGCACAAAAGUGAAAUAGAACGGAUAUUUCAAACAUUACCCCUCUCAGCUAUAGCUUCAGCAUAUUGCCAGCCCUAAUGCAGCUGACUUUCGACCAUGAGCAGCGAAUGCAAGGCAACAUGCUACAAGUGUUUUAAUCCAGAAUUGUCCAUCCAUACAUGUAAUGAGACUUUCCUAUUCAAAUGUCGUAAAUAAUGAGCCGAGCAGAACACUGUCCUACCCAUAAAGGGAAGUUUGAUUUCAAAGAAGUCAAACAAGAAUCCCAUACCUGAUCCAGGUGUGCAACACUUUCUUAGCAAAAAAAACCACAUAACAAAUCGUCAUGUAGUUGCUUUCUUUCAAUUCUCAGUUCCCGUUCUGCUUUAAGAACCCGUCAGAGUCCUUUCAGUACAAACCAAAAGAGGUUGAUAGAUCAGCUUUAACAUGAUAUCAAGCAAUGAGACACUAUUCAACUCAUUUGAAAUUUGUAUCGAUCCACUUUUAAGAAACACUAAAAAACAACCAGAUGGUCCAGAACUCUCCCAUGCACUUUUGGCCCUAGACCAGCCAGUUCACAUGGCCACUUGUUACAACUUCCAAGAAACAUGGCAAAUUUUGCACUCAAGGUUCCAUUGGCAGGGCUGUAAAACACUUAACUGCGAUCAUUAAGGCCUAUAGAUUGGUGAGAAGGCGACCUCUUGAACCGGAACUGGUUUUAAUUGACUUCAUAUGAGAAUAAAUUUGGUAGCCUAAUUUCACUCAUCUCCAUAACUACACAUGCUUUAAUCAUGGCGCAAUUCCACAAUAAUAAACUUUCAUUAAAGCGUCCAGCAGCCUCGAAUGGAUUCUGUACACAACCUCUCUUGAACACUGUAAUAGCAACCCUUUUAUGAAUACUAAAUAACAUUCAGCAACCGUAUCAUUACAACAAAGUUCAUUACGUAAUGUCAAGACCAUUAAGUGAUAGUAUGGGAUUAGGGCAUUACAUAAACCUACAAACCAAAGGCUUUACAAAGAGGAACCCCACCCCAAGUGAUUGUUUAACACCAGGGCAAACUUAGUUGAUUGGCUGGAAUAAUGGUGAAACAUAAUAUGAGAGGAAUUGCUCCUUUUGCUUGGUUAAAAGUGGAUUUUGUAACUCUUAAAUCCUUCCAUGGAAAGAUUGGAAGGAUUUAGAAAUUAAGAAGUUCAAGGUUUUGUCUUUGCAUUUUUAUAUAGUUUUUUUGAUAAGAUUGCUUUGAUGUUUGAAAGGAUUUUUCAUCUCCAAUUGUCAUCCUCCUUUCUCUUUUAGUUAAGUAUUUUUAUUUUUUAUUAUAAAUAAAACAAACAAAUGUAGUUCGGAACCAAAUUAACCAAACAAAUAUGCAUUGUGCCAUAUCAAAAAACGCAAAAAAGACCAAAAAGUAACCUCUUAAUCAAUGUUUCAUGUAUGCACUCUCAACAAUAUAUAUAUAUGUAGAUUCCCACAGGAUGGUAUUGGCUUCAAGAUCAGUAAUUUAAAUACUCACAUCAAAUGUGUUAGCUUGACAAACCAUUAUUGGGGCCAUACCAAAUACUUAAACUUCUGAAAAUUUUAUGACCCCUCCCUAUAUUAAUCUCUAGUUCAAAUACGUCCUAGUUCAAAGAUUUGCAACCAGUUUUCACAACCCAAUCAUCCCUCUUAAUUAUGCACUUGAUCAGUCAAUAAUCAAUAUUUGUGCACGCCAUUCGUUUCACAGAUGUUUGCCUCUCCAUGUUGGCGGUCUCCAAACACUUAAGCUUUGUACACAAUUCGUGAUCUAAACAAACAAAAUAGCAGAAUCACCUAGAGGAAAGAGAGAAAAUACAAUACCGAACAUAGACUAAUAUAAGACAAUAAAGCUUCAAUAAGUGUUUAAUAAUAAUUUCAUUGGACAACUAGAAAAAUUAACUAUAGCACCAAGUAUAACAAUAACCUAAGUAUCUAAAUGGACUUACUUGAUUAACCAAGGUUAAAUUAAAGACAA
rnacentral:lncRNA from 1 species